rnacentral:rRNA from 1 species
UACGGGGGGGUGCGAGCGUUGUCCGGAAUCACUGGGCGUAAAGGGCGCGUAGGUGGUUUGAUAAGGGUGUGGUGAAAGCCCGGGGCUCAACCCCGGGUCUGCCGUGCCGACUGUCAAACUCGAGGGCUGUAGAGGCAGACGGAAUUCCGGGUGUAGCGGUGGAAUGCGUAGAGAUCCGGAGGAAGACCGGUGGCGAAGGCGGUCUGCUGGGCAGUUUCUGACACUGAGGCGCGACAGCGUGGGGAGCAAACAGG